UACGGAGGGGGCUAGCGUUGUUCGGAAUUACUGGGCGUAAAGCGCACGUAGGCGGCUUUGUAAGUUAGAGGUGAAAGCCCAGGGCUUAACCCUGGAAUUGCCUUUAAGACUGCAUCGCUAGAAUCGUGGAGAGGUGAGUGGAAUUCCGAGUGUAGAGGUGAAAUGCGUAGAGAUGUGGAGGAACACCAAUGGCGAAGGCAGCCUUCUGGGCCAACACUGACGCUCAUGCACGAAAGCGUGGGGAGCAAACAGG
rnacentral:rRNA from 1 species